CGGGAUGUAGCUCAAAGGUAGAGCAUUCGGCUUUUAACCGAACGGCGAGAGUUCGAUUCUCUCUAUCCCGACCA
rnacentral:tRNA from 1 species